GUUGUGGCUCAGUGGUAGAGCAUGCCCCUCGCAUGUGCGAGGCCCUGGGUUCAAUCCUUAGUACUACA
rnacentral:tRNA from 1 species